GAUGAACGCUGGCGGUGUGCCUAAUACAUGCAGGUCGAGCGAACAGACGAGGAGCUUACUCCUCUGACGUUAGCGGCGGACGGGUGAGUAACACGUGGAUAACCUACCUAUAAGACUGGGAUAACUUCGGGAAACCGGAGCUAAUACCGGAUAACAUGUUGAACCGCAUGGUUCAACAGUGAAAGACGGUCUUGCUGUCACUUAUAGAUGGAUCCGCGUCGCAUUAGCUAGUUGGUAAGGUAACGGCUUACCAGGGCAACGAUGCGUAGCCGACCUGAGAGGGUGAUCGGCCACACUGGAACUGAGACACGGUCCAGACUCCUACGGGAGGCAGCAGUAGGGAAUCUUCCGCAAUGGGCGAAAGCCUGACGGAGCAACGCCGCGUGAGUGAAGAAGGUCUUCGGAUCGUAAAACUCUGUUAUUAGGGAAGAACAAAUGUGUAAGUAACUAUGCACGUCUUGACGGUACCUAAUCAGAAAGCCACGGCUAACUACGUG
rnacentral:rRNA from 1 species